GAGUUGGGCCCACAGGUAACAAAGUCAACUGAUGUAAACUGGCUCUGUACGUGGACUGUGGUCUGCUGCUUUAGAGCUAGGAAAGGCCUAGAGGAUGGGGCAUCUAGGAAGGACACAUACUUUGGAUUUGGGGCUGAACAAUGAAGUCAGAGUCAACUUAUCCAGUACUCAUGUUCUACAGACUAGCCUUCCAGAGAUGGGGCUGGCCUCAUGGCAUGUGAUGAUCAUGAGGAGUUAGCCUCUGUUGUCCAGAUGCUGGAUGUAGCCAAGAGUCUAAGGCAGCGAAGUAAACCCUGGUGGAAUUCACCAGAAGCCACUGGCUCACCUAUGGUAUACAGGAUGGACGAUGGCAAGACUAAGCCUGUCUCAAUGUGGGAUAUCUGAAUUUACACACACUCCAAUAAAUUGUGGAAUUACACAGCA
rnacentral:lncRNA from 1 species